rnacentral:rRNA from 1 species
GUAGGGAAUAUUGGUCAAUGGACGAAAGUCUGAACCAGCCAUUCCGCGUGCAGGAAGAAGAUUCUAUGGAUUGUAAACUGCUUUUAGCAGAGAAGAAACGCCUUCAUUGAUGAGGGUUUGACGGUAUCUGCGGAAUAAGCACCGGCUAACUCCGUGCCAGCAGCCGCGGUAAUACGGGGGGUGCAAGCGUUAUCCGGAAUCACUGGGUUUAAAGGGUGCGUAGGCGGGAAAUUAAGUCAGUGGUGAAAGUCUGUUGCUUAACGAUAGAAUUGCCGUUGAUACUGAUUUGCUUGAAUUGGGUUGAGGUUAGCGGAAUGUGACAUGUAGCGGUGAAAUGCAUAGAUAUGUCAUGGAACACCAAUUGCGAAGGCAGCUAGCUGGGCCUUGAUUGACGCUGAGGCACGAAAGCGUGGGUAGCGAACAGGAUUAGAUACCCGGGUAGUCC